rnacentral:siRNA from 1 species
AAGGAAUGAUUAUGAAUAGUG